AAACUUUCAACAACGGAUCUCUUGGUUCUGGCAUCGAUGAAGAACGCAGCGAAAUGCGAUAAGUAGUGUGAAUUGCAGAAUUCAGUGAAUCAUCGAAUCUUUGAACGCACAUUGCGCCCCUUGGUAUUCCUUGGGGCAUGCCUGUUCGAGCGUCAUUU
rnacentral:rRNA from 1 species